rnacentral:rRNA from 1 species
GGUGAACGCUGGCGGCGUGCUUAACACAUGCAAGUCGAACGGAAAGGCCCUGCUUUUGUGGGGUGCUCGAGUGGCGAACGGGUGAGUAACACGUGAGUAACCUGCCCUUGACUUUGGGAUAACUUCAGGAAACUGGGGCUAAUACCGGAUAGGAGCUCCUGCUGCAUGGUGGGGGUUGGAAAGUUUCGGCGGUUGGGGAUGGACUCGCGGCUUAUCAGCUUGUUGGUGGGGUAGUGGCUUACCAAGGCUUUGACGGGUAGCCGGCCUGAGAGGGUGACCGGCCACAUUGGGACUGAGAUACGGCCCAGACUCCUACGGGAGGCAGCAGUGGGGAAUAUUGCACAAUGGGCGGAAGCCUGAUGCAGCAACGCCGCGUGCGGGAUGACGGUCUUCGGGUUGUAAACCGCUUUCGCCUGUGACGAAGCGUGAGUGACGGUAAUGGGUAAAGAAGCACCGGCUAACUACGUG